rnacentral:rRNA from 1 species
GUGGGGAAUCUUGCGCAAUGGGCGAAAGCCUGACGCAGCAACGCCGCGUGCGGGAUGAAGGCCUUCGGGUUGUAAACCGCUUUCAGCAGGGACGAAAAUGACGGUACCUGCAGAAGAAGCUCCGGCUAACUACGUGCCAGCAGCCGCGGUAAUACGUAGGGAGCAAGCGUUGUCCGGAGUUAUUGGGCGUAAAGAGCUCGUAGGCGGUUUCGUAAGUCGAGUGUGAAAAAUCUGGGCUUAACCCAGUGGAGCACUCGAUACUGCGAUGACUUGAGUCUGGUAGAGGAGUGUGGAAUUCCUGGUGUAGCGGUGAAAUGCGCAGAUAUCAGGAGGAACACCAACGGCGAAGGCAGCACUCUGGGCCAGUACUGACGCUGAGGAGCGAAAGCGUGGGGAGCAAACAGGAUUAGAUACCCGAGUAGUCC